UACGAAGGGGGCUAGCGUUGUUCGGAAUCACUGGGCGUAAAGGGCGCGUAGGCGGCUUUAUAAGUCGGGGGUGAAAGCCUGUGGCUCAACCACGGAAUUGCCUUCGAUACUGUAGAGCUUGAGACCGGAACAGGUAAGUGGAACUGCGAGUGUAGAGGUGAAAUUCGUAGAUAUUCGCAAGAACACCAGUGGCGAAGGCGGCUUACUGGUCCGGUUCUGACGCUGAGGCGCGAAAGCGUGGGGAGCAAACAGG
rnacentral:rRNA from 1 species